CAGCAACGGAAGGCAGUAGAUCAGCGGGGCUCCUCGGCAGAGGAACCAUGAGCCACAGAACAAAGCCACAGUGAAUGAAGCCAAGAACUCCAAGAAUGCAUUUUUGAAAGCAGACACCUAUAUGUAAAAGCAGCUCACACAGACAUGGAGUGCUCUCCUUCUCAUCUAGACCUCCUCGGCAUCUGUGUCUGAUUCAAACUCAGGAAGGAAACUAAAGGGCUUACCUGAAGGUUUGUGGACACACGGCCGGCUGCCACUCACUGCACUUGUGAAGCAGACGCUGGGGAAAGGCGGGGAAGCAGACCUCCCACCCCCAGAGUUGGGCCAGAGCCUGGGCCUCAGGAAUACCCAUUGUGCCCCAACAGAGAAAACUAAUGGCCAUGACUGCUGAUCCUGUUGGCCAGUUCUGUGGCUAU
rnacentral:lncRNA from 1 species